rnacentral:lncRNA from 1 species
AAAAAAAAAACCCACCAAAAAUAGCUUCCAUACACAGUCCACCCCAAUGUAAAAAUGCAGAAGUUCAGAGGGAGCUUUAUCACUUCCUGAGACAGAGCAGAUGCAGUUUGGUUUCAUUUAUGUGAACUGUAGAGGCUCCUUGUGUUAGCUGGGCUGCUCUAUUUUUUUUUUUUCUUACCUUCUUUUUUUUCUUAAAUACUGUUUUGUGCUUAGGCAGAGGAUCAAGUUGAAGCCUUUCGCUCUGUUUGUGAGGAAGCCGCAUCCUUGAAAGGCAAGUUAGAGGAAGCCAUUUCUGAGCAGCAAAAACUCAAGAAUGUGAACGCAUCUUUAGCAGGCAUUUGCCAGUUGCUUCAAGAAAAGGUGGAAGACCAGAAAAUGCUGUGCUGAGUUAGAAUCUGACUACAAUUUGCUGCUCACAUCAGCUGAGCCAGUAAAAGGGAAGCAGCUCCAUUGCUCUAAACAACUGUGGAGUGAAGGACCCACCUCGUGCACUGAAGCUCCUGGGACAUUGUCCUCCGAUAAUUCAUACUGGCAUAGUACAUCUCUGCUAGAUGCUCUGACCUUGGAAACCUCAUACCCAAAUAACUCUCUUGUGCAUGGCUGGGACUGGCCUUGGAGACAGAGCUCUGGCAUCUGCAUGUUUGAAAACCGCAAUCUGAGACAUGCAUCCACUUCAGAUGUGACGUUAGUGGGGUGCAAGUGGAAAAUACGCUCUGCUGGUAACUAUACUGAUGUAGACCUUCCUGUUUCCAUUACAAUGAUGGACUCUUCACUUACUGAGAUUGACUGUGCAGAGCCAACACUACCAGCCAGUUUGGUCCCAUCCAGGUCAGACUUUGUGCCAGUUUUUAAAUGCCUUUAUCAAGAUUGUAUAAUAUGGAUGAGUGUCUGAAAGAACUUUGUUUUCACAGUGAUCACUUAACUUCACCUGAAGAAGUUCUUACAUCCUCUUUGGAAAGCACUGCACCAGUAAUAGGUAAGCCCUUGAUUUGGGGCACAGCUGCGUGGACUUCUUGCACUGAAAGCCUUGGAAAUAGGUAUGCUCAAGUCUGCACAGUUAUUGAACAGUAAGAGCCCUGUCUUCUAUGGCCUGAUAUUAUAGGCUGCCUUGUUAUGGAGGAAAAAUCACCCAAGUGCUCACGUGAAAAAGAGGAAGAUAUGCCAACUUCUGUAGCAAUGAAGAAAAACAACAAUAAGGAUCCGGCUGGUCCCGAAUCAGGUAGGGUAACUGCCGCAGCACACAGCUGCUCUCACAGUGAGGAAACGGCUUGCUUCCAGCACAUCUUUGAAGUGAGGAAGUUGAGUAAGAAAAAUAACUUAGUGGCAACUUAUGAAUUUAUGGGUUUGCAAACAUUUUUGUCUGCAAGUGCUCUCAGCCCUCCCUGAGACUCUGAAUGGGAAUAAGGCUUUAACUUACAGGUGGCCAGUGGCCUACAGCAUUGCAAGAAAUAAACGGGACAUUUUGGUGCCUGCUUAGUUGGCA